UAACUUCAUGUACUUCAUUUCUUUCAGUGGUAUUGAUAACAUUCCCGACUGACACUCGCCAAUUGAUAAAUCCAUUGUUUGUGCAGCAUUUAAUAAUGUAUAAAUUAUAUGGGCUCGCCGAGUAGGGGCAAUACUUCUUGGCCAGCUGCCAACUAACUUGGCCCACUGUGCUCCAUCAAUUUCGCGUGCGCCCAUAAUAUUUACAUAAAAAAACCAAUAUUCGCCAGACCAAUUUGUUAUUCAAAGUAAUAACUGCGAAUGCCCGCAAAACAUCUGCGCAGUAAGGAGGCUAUCUUAACGUGUCAUUUGUUUUAAUUGGUCAGCAGGGUGAUUGCUAAAAAAACAAUAAGCUUAUAUAAGGGCUUGAGCAUCGCGGCCCUCAGUUGUCCUAGCCUGAGUUUGUUUGCUUCUUUGCACCACGUUUAGAUGAUUUUCGGUUCAAACCAGAACAUCGAUAAGAGGGCCAAGCACAUGUCUGGCCAAGUGCGAGGGUAUUAAAUUUAUAUAAGGUGCGCGAUUGGCAAAUUACUGCUGGUAUUUAUAACGUCUUAGAGAUAUGAUAGCAAUGGAUAGGCCAGCAGCGAGUGCUUCUACACCCUCAACACAAAAGCGAAGAUUUCGGGCGAUUAAAAGAUGGGAUGUUUAUCUGUUGGAUAUCAAUUAAAAGGCUUUCCCGCCACUCGGCAUCGAUGUCGACUUGAGCUCGGGGGAGCAUUUAAUCCCAGGAAAAGUGCAAUAUUUACCCACACAUUAGCAAAGUCAACAGCGGCAGAUUGGUGGAACAAAAGGAGAACUUCACCGCCACAAAACUCUUGAAAGCGGAAAUCGUGGCGUAAAAGUCGGAAAAGUGCUUUACAGCGAAAGCCUUCUAUGGCUGAAGACCAAAUCGAUACCACAUACGAAUGUUUUGCCGGGCAGCAUAAAUCAAAAUCACUGACAAUGUCAAGAGGUCUCAACUGUGCCUGUUUUCGAGGAAUAGAAACGAAAUUUACGACUUGGCUCCGGGAUCAUAUCAAGUUCAUAUCAUAUCAAAUUAUGUCCAGAUAGCUCAGACCUCAUGUCCACUCUUCGUAUCUCAAAGUUGUUUAAUCAUUCGUCUGGGCCAGCAUUUUGUAUCCACGUUUCAAGAUUGGCAGCUUGAUUUCGGAAUGUUUCUUGAUUUUGGCAUCUAACAAUAUGCAGUGAUACACACAGCACUUUUAUUCAAAUUGAAGAAUCUGUUUGAUAGUAAGCGUUUUAAGCUAGUGUUAAGUUGUUAAGUCACAAGUAUAGCAUACUCAACUUGACCUUUGGGUAACCCUGAAGCUUUGGGAAUUCCCAUUUUGUGUGACAACUAUCAUUCACCCCGAUACCACCGAAAUUUGUGGCAUUCUUGAGGUAGCCCGAUUUAUCAAUGCCAGUCAGAGUGAUUAUGGGAAACACGUUUAUUCGCACUCUCCUAUCGCAAAUCACGUUUUUGGAAACGUUUCCAAAAGCGAAACUUUCCGCUGUUGGCCAAAACAAUGUUGAUCAAGAUAACGAUCAUCAAUCCCAGAUAUUGAGAAUAACAAAAACAAGUUAACUGACUUGGAUAUUAUGGUGGCCUUGGACGGAUUUCCAUAACGAGAAAGCCCACAAAACUCGAGCCGCCACAAAACUCUUAUCUGGUAAAUGCAAUUAGAGACCGACUUACAUACAUUUGGCUCUUGGUAUUUAUAGAGGCAAUACCAAGAAGUACGAGUAUAUGUUCUGGGCCAGGCGUAUAUCUUUCCUACACCUUUCCUUCUCGACUAUCACCCGCUGCCAGAGGCCCCAGUCCCCAGUCCCCAGUACCCAAAAGCGGCUCUGCCUCCCCAUCUAUUGACAAUUCAAUUAACGUUUUGAAAUAAUUUCCUGAUAAGCGUCGCUGUUUCGGGGCUACGCAACAAGAAGAAGGAAAUUAAACAGCACCCAAUAAUACCCCGGCAGUGGUUAACUUACCAAUAAAACAAGAACCCAAAUUGGAGAGGGGUGGUGGGGGCAGAGCCAGGUUAUCACUAUUUGAUCCACAAAUGUGUUAAUAUUAAACCACUAAGCCUAUAGUUAUAUUGUAAGCAUCAACCUCAAUAGUCAAUCCUAAUCCAUAUUGUAUUUUUUCUAACAUGAAGCCCAAACAUAUACUUUGGGUAGUCUAGGUACAUGCUCUUAACAACUAAAAUCUUGGCGGAAAUGAAGAAAAUGUAAGUCGGCCGAUAUGAUCCUUAUUACCUCAGUGGAAAUUUUUACAAACAUAAAGUGAGCGAAAUCCCCGUGCUAUCUUCUUUUCAUUGAUGAACUUCAAUGUUUAGUAAAGCAGAUUAAAUGGCUGGGAAAAACGACAAAGCAAGUUUGAUAACUUUUAACGAACCAUUUGGUUAAACCCGCCUAGAAAAACCUUUAAUAUUGCAUUAAAAAUCUGACGAGUGCUUUUGUAAUUUUUACCUGAACUGACACUAAUUAAAAAUGUAUUAAAUUGCAUUAACAACUUUAAAAGUCAAUGAAUAUGGCAUACAAGUACUGAAGGCAUUUCAAAGAGACCUGUUGAUCUCUUGUUAAUGCAAUGCGUUUAAUGGCAGAAAACUGAAUCUUUAAGAUUGGGGAUUAGAUUUUAACAAUGUUCUUGUCGUGGCUUGUUCUUGUAAUGGCUUGAUUUCGUCACUGAUAAUGGCGCUUUCCUAAGUUUGCACCCUGAUAUCUCUCCCGAUGGUCCCGAUGGCGGUGCAAGUCAACUUUUCCAUGCGCAUUUACCUCACCUGGCGCCAAUCAAAACCGACGCUAUCGAAAGCCCCCAGUUUAGCUACUAUAAAAGUGCCGCUAAUUUGGCUCUUGAUUGCUCAUUUAUUUGCUCGGCACACGUUCAUUGCCAUCGUCGGCGAUUCCCCAGUAAAUAUAUAUUAGCCCCUAGGCACUCAGCUUGCAUUAGACAUAUUAAAUUCGGACCAUCCCUCAGCUAUAAAGAAGGCUUCAAUCCUGGCCACGUCGGAGUACUUGGAGUGCAUUGAGCCAGCAAAGUCAAGGUUCGACUUCACAUUGAUUAGUUAAGGCUUUAUUUUCGGUGAAAGUUUACUAAAGACCCUAUAAGACCUACUUUAAGUAAGUAGACAAGCUUAAAAGUUAGAACGCAAAUUUGAAAGGAUAACUAUCCAAUAACAUAUAAGGUUUCUAAUUUAUUUGUUUGAUACAUAGUGUAAAAAUUGUAGAGUCCCCUUACAAUAUUCAAAUCAAAAUAUGGAGAAAUAUUAGCACUAUUUUAAGCACUUCUCUUUCGACCAUCUUCACAUCCGCCUCAAGUGCAAGUGGAAUUUUUCGCAGGUUGAUUAUUGGCAAAAUUAAUCACACCGGGUCACAAUUUGCAUAUUCGAGUUUAUGAAGGGGUUCAGACAGUGGCAGAGGCUUUCGGAAUGCCUAGGGCACGAGAAAUACCUGAGCGGUACGAUAAAAAAUAAAAAAUAAAAAAUACUCGAAACGCUGAACGAUUCAAUCAACUCGAAGUCGCUGCCUCGAGCCAACUCAUGCCAAAAUCAUUUUGUUGUUCAUUUAGAACAAAUAAGCAAAUACUUGCUGUAAAUAACACACUGUGGCCUCAUGAGAAAUUGAAUGGAGCGGCAAACGGAACUUGGCGAAGACGUCGCCCAGUUGGUUUCACGCCCAUGGAAUGCCAGGUAUUCCAGUUAUUUAUUUCGGCACAUUAACAACCCGGCAGGCAUGGGGACAUCCGACAUUCAGUCGAUACUUCAAAUUGAUUGCCAAAUAAAUUAAAAGUGUAAGCGGAACAAAAGCAACAACCACGAACGGCUGGAGAAAACGUCCCGUGCCAGGAGAAUGGUAGCCCAGACAUUUAGUUGAUGCAUCUCCUCUAGUUUUUCCCAUUCCCAUCUUAAUUAUCCAUGGGCUUCAAGUGGUUCACAGUGCCAGCGAUAAGGCUGGGGAUCCGGGUCCAAAAACAAAACCAGAGCCAGUUGUUGACUAAAUGUUUUUGGCGUCCGUUAGUGCAAGAUGUGGAAUAAGAAAAGGUUCAACACAAUCAUGACCACACUGAGAGAAAACUACAUCUUAACAGAUAUGAACAUAUCAAUGAACUGAAGGACGACAUUUCAUAUGUAAAUCUGAAAUGAAAGAUGCAAUUAAACUGGACACAUUUUCUCAGUCGAUUGCCAGGUAAUGCGUCUAAAAUGAACUUCAAACGGCGCCUCGAGAUAAAGAACAUUUUCCCCGUUCGCUCGUCUUCUCGCUUUCCAUCUUCCUUGGUUGUUCAAGAUAUGUAAAUAUAGUUCAUUGAUGAUUUUAGCUGGAAAUGCGGGUCUUGGAUGAGAUUGGUCUAUCGAUUUGGGUGAGUCACCUUCGUUGAAUCACUGGAUUUAACGAGAAAAAUGCAGAAGUGCAGCUGCCUUGCAAUUAAAAGCACCGCCCACGCCCCUUAAAUUUGCGGAUCGAUUGGGAAAGCGUGCUAUUUUGGACCCGUGCCAAGGAUGCGUACCAUAUAACAUAUAGCACCAGCUGGUUUUCCUGCAACAAUGCCACACAAAUUAGAGCCAGAGACAAUGGACGAGGAAACUGCAUUAAGGCGGCAAAUUGCGGUGACCGAAGAGGGAAAUGUUGGAAAACUCGGGGAAAGGUGAAAGAUGAAAGUGUGCCAUUGUGCGAGUGCGUGCUACUCUCAGGUAAAAGUUGGCCGAAAAGGACGAGCAUACAGGCAAACUGCGGUUGACAAUAAAUUACGAGUAAAAAUUUCAUGCCAAA